rnacentral:rRNA from 1 species
AGAGUUUGAUCCUGGCUCAGGAUGAACGCUGGCGGCGUGCCUAACACAUGCAAGUCGAGCGAAGCGCUGUUCUCAGAAUCUUCGGAGGAAGAGGAUAGUGACUGAGCGGCGGACGGGUGAGUAGCGCGUGGGCAACCUGCCUCAUACAGGGGGAUAACAGUUAGAAAUGACUGCUAAUACCGCAUAAGCGCACAGGACCGCAUGGUGUAGUGUGAAAAACUCCGGUGGUAUGAGAUGGACCCGCGUCUGAUUAGGUAGUUGGUGGGGUAAAGGCCUACCAAGCCGACGAUCAGUAGCCGACCUGAGAGGGUGACCGGCCACAUUGGGACUGAGACACGGCCCAAACUCCUACGGGAGGCAGCAGUGGGGAAUAUUGCACAAUGGGGGAAACCCUGAUGCAGCGACGCCGCGUGAAGGAAGAAGUAUUUCGGUAUGUAAACUUCUAUCAGCAGGGAAGAAAAUGACGGUACCUGAGUAAGAAGCACCGGCUAAAUACGUGCCAGCAGCCGCGGUAAUACGUAUGGUGCAAGCGUUAUCCGGAUUUACUGGGUGUAAAGGGAGCGUAGACGGAUAGGCAAGUCUGGAGUGAAAACCCAGGGCUCAACCCUGGGACUGCUUUGGAAACUGCAGAUCUGGAGUGCCGGAGAGGUAAGCGGAAUUCCUAGUGUAGCGGUGAAAUGCGUAGAUAUUAGGAGGAACACCAGUGGCGAAGGCGGCUUACUGGACGGUGACUGACGUUGAGGCUCGAAAGCGUGGGGAGCAAACAGGAUUAGAUACCCUGGUAGUCCACGCCGUAAACG